UAAUGUCUAAGGAGUAUUUCUGCCAAAUUUGGUGCUUGCAUAACCAUUUGAACGAUUCCACUGUCAAUAUUCUGUUAUCUGCUGCACUAUACCGAUCUGCGGAGAGGAAAA